GACAACCUGGGAGGAGGUAGAGAGGUGGUCGGUCGACCCAGGGAGAGUGCCAGAGCCCGCCUGGGAUUCUAUGGAGCAGUGCGAAGAGGGAUACCGGAGGAUGGAGUCGGUGAGACGAACACGGCUGGCAAGGAAGCCCGAGAGGCAGCCCCUAAAAAAUAUUUGGGGGGCGGCACAGAGUCAGGUUGGAGACCUGAGCCAACUCCCCAUGCUUACCAUGGCGGGCGUCGUACUGGUCAGGCACCGUGUUAUGCGGUGGAGCGCACGGUGUCUCCAGUGCGUGUUCUUAGCCCGGUGCACUACAUCCCAGCUCCCCGCAUCUGCCGGGCUAGGGUGAGCAUCCAGCCAGGACGGAUUGUGCCAGCCCUGCUCUCCAGACCUCCAGUACGUCUCUACGGCCCAGGAUAUCCUGCGCAGGCUCUGCGCACUGUGUCUCCAGUGUGUCUGCAUAGCCCAGUGGGUCCUGUGCCUGCGCCCCGCACGUGCCGGGCCAAAGUAACCAUCCAGUCAGGACGUGUUGUGCAGGCUCCUAGCUCGAGACCCCCAGUGCGCCUCCACGGCCCAGUGUAUCCGGUGCCUCUGCCUAGGACAGGGCCUCCUGUAUGUCUCCCCAGCCUGGUGAGCCCUGUGGCAGCUCAACGUACCAGACUGCCCAUACGUGUCCUCCAUCCAGUGAUGAUCCAUGGCAAGAAGCCUCCUGUGAUGAACCAUGGCACGAAGCCUCCAGUGAUGAUCCAUGGCACGAGGCCUCCAGUGAUGAUCCAUGGCACGAGGCCUCCAGUGAUGAUCCAUGGCAAGAAGCCUCCAGUGAUGAUCCAUGGCACGAAGCCUCCAGUGAUGAUCCAUGGCACGAAGCCUCCAGUGAUGAUCCAUGGCACGAAGCCUCCAGUGAUGAUCCAUGGCACGAAGCCUCCAGUGAUGAUCCAUGGCAAGAAGCCUCCAGUGAGGAGACAUGGAACGGAGCCUCCAGCAACGGGGGUCCCUGCACCAGAGGCGCCACCAAGGUGGGGGGAGCCAGAGGCGGAGGGGGGUCUACGUCCCGCACCAGAGCCGCCGCUGUAA
rnacentral:lncRNA from 1 species